rnacentral:tRNA from 1 species
GGGCCCAAUGAGAGAGCAUCUGCCUGGCAUGCGGAAGGUCCCAAGUUCAAUUCCCGGCAUCUGCA